rnacentral:rRNA from 1 species
GGACUACUCGGGUAUCUAAUCCUGUUUGCUCCCCACGCUGUCGCGCCUCAGUGUCAGCUACUGCCCAGCAGGCCGCCUUCGCCACCGGUGUUCUUCCGGAUCUCUACGCAUUCCACCGCUACACCCGGAAUUCCGCCUGCCUCUACAGUGCUCAAGCAAAACAGUUCGCACGGCCGACCCGGGGUUGAGCCCCAGGCUUUCACCGCACGCUUGUCCCGCCACCUACGCGCCCUUUACGCCCAAUGAUUCCGGACAACGCUCGCACCCUCCGUAUUACCGCGGCUGCUGGCAC